CUGGCCAAUCAGCAUCUCCUCAUAGAGAUGCAUUGAAUCAAUGAAUCUCUAUGAGGAAAGUUCAGUGUCUGCAUGCAGAGGGAGGAGAUACUGAAUGUUUGGAUGCAUUUUAGGCAGCCAUGACCCAGGAAGGAUCUCCAACAGCCAUCUGAGGAGUGGCCAGUGAAGUUAUCACUAGGCUGUAAUGUAAACACUGCAUUUUCUCUGAAAAGACAGUGUUUACAGCAAAAAGCCUAAAG